rnacentral:rRNA from 1 species
GACGAACGCUGGCGGCGUGCUUAACACAUGCAAGUCGAACGGAAAGGCCCUGCUUUUGUGGGGUGCUCGAGUGGCGAACGGGGGAGUAACACGUGAGUAACCUGCCCUUGACUUUGGGGUAGGUUCAGGAAACUGGGGCUAAUACCGUAUAGGAUCUCCUGCUGCAUUGAGGGGGUUGGAACGUUUCGGCGGUUGGGGAUGGACUGGCGGCUGAUCGGCUUGUUGGUGGGGUAGUUGCUUACCAAGGCUUUGGCGGGUAGCCGGCAUGAGAGGGUGACCGGGCACAUUGGGACUGAGAUACGGACCAGAGUCCUACGGGAGGCAGCAGUGGGGAAUAUUGCACAAUGGGCGGAAGCCUGAUGCAGCAACGCCGCGUGCGGGAUGACGGCCUUCGGGUUGUAAACCGCUUUCGCCUGUGACGAAGCGUGAGUGACGGUAAUGGGUAAAGAAGCACCGGCUAACUACGUG